CCUCGCUGUGCCGAAUCUGCCAAUAGCCUGAAUUAUAAGACACCGUGAGCUAUGUCGAAAUAGGGAUGAGAGGGGGGCCGUUGAGACCCCUUCUUUGAGCCAGCAGGAAGAUAAAAAGAUCUCCCUGCCAGCUGUUACAAAUCAACUCCCUGGUGGCCCAGUGUACUACUAGUUAACUCCCUGAUGGUCAAGUGUGCUGCUGAGGC